AGUAAAAGUCGUAACAAGGUCUCCGUUGGUGAACCAGCGGAGGGAUCAUUAAAGAGUUAUAAAAAAACUCCCAAACCCAUGUGAACUUACUUUUGUUGCCUCGGCAGGACCGACCAACUCCGAUAGAGCCUACCCUGUAGGUGAUAUAGGGCUGGCCGGCGAAGUCUUGCCGGUGGACCAUCAAACUCUGUUUAUUAUAUUGUUAUUCUGAAAUCAUAACUAAAUAAGUUAAAACUUUCAACAACGGAUCUCUUGGUUCUGGCAUCGAUGAAGAACGCAGCGAAAUGCGAUGAGUAAUGUGAAUUGCAGAAUUCAGUGAAUCAUCGAAUCUUUGAACGCACAUUGCGCCCAUUAGUAUUCUAGUGGGCGUGCCUGUUCGAGCGUCAUUUCAACCCUUAAGCCCUGUUGCUUAGUGUUGGGAGCCUACAGUUCGCUGUAGCUCCUUAAAGUUAGUGGCAGAGUCGGCUCACGCUCUAGACGUAGUAAUUUUUUAUCUCGGCUAUAGAUGAGUUGGCUUCUCGCCAUAAAGCCCCCCUAAAUCUAAAGGUUGACCUCGGAUCAGGUAGGAAUACCCGCUGAACUUAAGCAUAUCAAUAAGCGGAGGA
rnacentral:rRNA from 1 species